AAUGAACGUUGGCGGCGUGGAUUAGGCAUGCAAGUCGAGCGAGAACCCCGCAAGGGGGGACAGCGGCGCAAGGGACAGUAAUGUGUAGAUUAUCUGCCCUCGGGUCCGGGAUAGCCGCGGGAAACUGCGGGUAAUACCGGAUGACAUCUCCGGAUCAAAGGUGUGAUUCCGCCCGAGGAUGAGUCUACAUCCUAUUAGCUAGUUGGCAGGGUAAUGGCCUACCAAGGCGAUGAUGGGUAGCGGGUGUGAGAGCACGACCCGCGUCAUUGGGACUGAGACACUGCCCAGACACCUACGGGUGGCUGCAGUCGAGAAUCUUCGGCAAUGGGCGCAAGCCUGACCGAGCGACGCCGCGUGUGGGAUGAAGGCCUUCGGGUUGUAAACCACUGUCAGAGGGGAUGAAAUGCAGGUGGGUUCUCCCAUCUGUUUGACAUAGCCUCAGAGGAAGGACGGGCUAAGUUCGUGCCAGCAGCCGCCGCCGUAA
rnacentral:rRNA from 1 species